AUACCAUCAGGCAUAGCAAUGAUGCCAAUACAGAAAACCACUGAUGUGCAGCAGGAAACAUCGAUAGUGGCAUUGGCGGAAGCAGUGGCAGCCAGUCUUGGAAUAGACUCCAAAGAGCCCACCCGGUACUGGACUCCGAUAGGUCUUAGUGUUAAUCACAGUAUACAUGCAGAUAAUUAUCAAGGCGGAGAAUUAUCCAAAUUGGCAGAAAGCGUAGCACAGUCGUUAACUGACUACAGCAAGGAGCAACAUAGCAUCAGCUCCGGGGUAGGAGAGACCCUAAACCAUAGUACAGAUCAUCAAACGCAACUUGGUUGUGAAGUGAGCGGAGAAGAUAAAUCACAUCGUGUUAACAUGGCUAUCAAAAGCAUGAAAUGCCUACAAGACAAGCAAGAAACAGAAGAUAAAGAAAUCUUUUCUUCAUCUAUUUCUUAUAAGAAGAAUAAAAACUUAAAUAGCAGCGUAGUAUUGUCUAAGCCUUUGUUAGAAGCAACGAUUCAAUUGUAUACGGAACCCUAUUUGCAACGCAACUUAACACAAGGGUCCGACGUAGUUGUAAGAAACAAAAGCAUUAGAACUAGAAAGAGUUAUGGCAAAUUUUCGCAUGGAUCAGAAAAGGUUACACGCAAAUUAAAUGGUUUGCCUAUCAACAAAGGCAAGAAAAAUAAGCAAAAAUCAUUCGUGAAAAAGCAGGAAUUUCGAAGAAGAAAAAAUGGUGUUAAGAUUAGAAAGGAAUUUACAGGAAGGUCAAAAGGAAAGUUCAGAAAGAAAGGUAAUGUCUUUCGUAAAAGGGGAAGAUUGCGAAACGUUAUCGUUCCGCAAUAUAGCAGGCUCACCGAUUCAGGAUUUCGUAAAAAUAACAUACAGCAAACUUAUUCGGUUAUGCAAUCCUAUGAGUCAAAUAUGAGUAAUCAGAGGAAGAGAAAGAAAAGCACCAUAUAUAAAAUAAUACUUAAAAUUCCUUUAAGCAUACAAACCAGAGACUAUGUUUCGUAUGUUCAGUUCCAUUUAUGUAUAACAUACAUUGUCGAAACUUUAUAUUAAAUUAUACAUACAUCAAUUAACAUAAAUCAUUUUAUAAAGUGAAAAACGAUAAUUAAUAUAAUAUCAUAAACAAUGAAUGGAAUGCCAGUUCAGCAAAAUAUCAUAUGUUAGCAAGUGGAAUGACCUACUGUGAAAGACGUCAACUACAAUGAAUAAUAUUAUGCAAGAUAUCAAAUUACCGAGUUCUCAGAAUGUGCUCAAGACAGGUAGAGGAUAGGACAUUACAAUCAUAUAAAGUUCAGGAGACGUCACGGAGCAGUAGGUGUAGCAUCGGCAGAAUCAGCAGCCGGUCUCGCAGUGGCCUCAGGAGAAGCCACCCGGGACCGGACUCCGGUUAGGUAGUGCAAGGGCCCAUGCGGUAUCGGUCCUAGUGUUAGUGAUAGUGCUGUGAUUAAAAGUGUUAGCAUAAACCUAGAGACUGUUAAGCAUAUGAUGAAAUCAUCUUGUAAAGCACUACAUAUUCAUCUUGCACUUUUGCCUGGGGGAGUAUGUACGAGCCAAGGCUGUACAUUUUGCACUUUUGCCUGGGGGAGUAUGUACGAGCCAAGGCUGUACAUUUUACUCGCUCAGGCUUCCUUAGUUUUAUAAGCUUAAUUAUUCCCUAUGUAAGUACGUGCCAGGGCUCGUACAUUCCGAUCAUCUACAACCAUGAUGUUUUUAUAAGUACGUGCCAGGGCUCGUACAUUCCAAUCAUCCACGAGCGUGAUGUUUUUAUUAUGUAAGUACGCGCUCUGGCUGUACAGUUUGAUCAUUUAUAAGCAUGACGAUUUCCUACAAUCGUCGGAGUCACGCCCCGAGAGUAUAGCCCGACGCAGGCACUCUCUUCGACUGUUACUAUGCAGUCAUUCGUAAUUAACUAAGUCAUAGGAGUAUCACCCCGGGAGCAUAGCCAGACGUAGGCACUCUCUCUGUUUGUUAGAUUGCAAUUAACAUAAUAGUUAUUAUUUCGCUCAUAGUCUAUUGUAUAACGCGAGUGAUAAAUAUAGAGUAAGUUCAAUUUAUUCUAUUAUUUCGAACCCCUGAUGACCCAGGAACCGUACAAUUAUAAAGGUUACCAAGACGAGAAAUUGUUUGAUGAAGCAUUUAGUGUUGCCAUU